UACGGGGGGUGCGAGCGUUGUCCGGAAUCACUGGGCGUAAAGCGUGCGCAGGCGGUUCGUCGUGUCCGAUGUGAAAGCCCCGGGCUCAACCUGGGAAUGGCAUUGGAAACUGGCGGACUCGAGUGUGACAGAGGGGGGUGGAAUUCCGCGUGUAGCAGUGAAAUGCGUAGAGAUGCGGAGGAACACCGAUGGCGAAGGCAGCCCCCUGGGCUAACACUGACGCUCAGGCACGAAAGCGUGGGGAGCAAACAGG
rnacentral:rRNA from 1 species